CAGCAGCCGCGGUAAAACGGAGGGUGCAAGCGUUAUCCGGAUUUAUUGGGUUUAAAGGGUCCGUAGGCGGACUUAUAAGUCAGUGGUGAAAGCCUGUCGCUUAACGAUAGAACUGCCAUUGAUACUGUAAGUCUUGAGUAUAUUUGAGGUAGCUGGAAUAAGUAGUGUAGCGGUGAAAUGCAUAGAUAUUACUUAGAACACCAAUUGCGAAGGCAGGUUACCAAGAUAUAACUGACGCUGAGGGACGAAAGCGUGGGUAGCGAACAGGAUUAGAUACCCCUGUAGUCCCUGUCUCUUAUAC
rnacentral:rRNA from 1 species